rnacentral:rRNA from 1 species
UACAGAGGGGGCAAGCGUUGUUCGGAAUUACUGGGCGUAAAGGGCGCGUAGGCGGCCCGCUAAGUCGAACGUGAAAUCCCCGGGCUCAACCCGGGAACUGCGUCCGAUACUGGUGGGCUCGAAUCCGGGAGAGGGAUGUGGAAUUCCAGGUGUAGCGGUGAAAUGCGUAGAUAUCUGGAGGAACACCGGUGGCGAAGGCGGCAUCCUGGACCGGUAUUGACGCUGAGGCGCGAAAGCCAGGGGAGCAAACGGG